AUUGAACGCUGGCGGCAUGCCUAACACAUGCAAGUCGAACGGCAGCGCGGGGGCAACCCUGGCGGCGAGUGGCGGACGGGUGAGGAAUGCAUAGGAAUCUGCCCGGUUGUGGGGGAUAACGUAGGGAAACUUACGCUAAUACCGCAUACGACCUUCGGGUGAAAGUGGGGGACCUUCGGGCCUCACGCGAUCGGAUGAGCCUAUGCCCGAUUAGCUAGUUGGCGGGGUAAGAGCCCACCAAGGCGACGAUCGGUAGCUGGUCUGAGAGGAUGAUCAGCCACACUGGGACGGAGACACGGCCCAGACUCCUACGGGAGGCAGCAGUGGGGAAUAUUGGACAAUGGGCGCAAGCCUGAUCCAGCAAUGCCGCGUGUGUGAAGAAGGCCUUCGGGUUGUAAAGCACUUUUGUUCGGGAAGAAAUCCGUGUGGUUAAUACCCGUACGGGAUGACGGUACCGAAAGAAUAAGCACCGGCUAACUUCGUG
rnacentral:rRNA from 1 species